GUGCGCGCAUUCGAGGGAUUUGUUCUGUGGACUGUUAAAUGUCCAUUACUCAUGAAAGCAGUGCAGGUACAAGAAGUGGCAGACGUCUGGGGAUUCCUCACUUGUUGAAGCUGAAGCUAUAAUUACAGGAAAAGUUUGCAAUUUUGUUUGACCUAAGCGCUUCGACAACGUGAAUUCAAUUUUGUGUUGAAUAUUUUUACGUUUCUGGAUCAAUAAAUCAAUACCUGAUAUUUUUGGGCGUUACGGGUGAUUGGGAGCAUUUUCAUUUUUUUUUCCGUGUGUAAAUUUCCAACAAUGGAACUUAUAUUUUCCAUGGAAAUGGCAUAUGUACCCCUGGACGCAGAUGGCAGCUACCUAUAAAGGGUUCUAUUAAAAAGGGUUGGAUAAUUUUACGUAAUAAGAUUAAUGAAGGGUGUGCCUUUUAGAAUGAUGUAUCAUGGAUGUUCAUUAUAAUAUGUAAAUAAUUUAACAAAAUAUUUAUUUCUGUUGUGCACAGUUAAUGGAAAUAUCGAUUUGUCUUUAAUCUUUUGAUUUAAAGCUUUAAAACUGCGAUGCACUGCUAGGUCUGAAAAAUAGUCUACGUCUCUGUAUCUUCAGAAUACAAAAUUUUAGUAUUGGCAAAAGGACCGCUGUGUUGUGUGAUUUAAAAUUGAAGCCACCAAGGAAACUUUUUCAGCCUUCCCCCCCUUAAAAAAAAAAAACAUCAAAUAUGACGCCAGCAGUGACGCUUGUCUUUCAGUCUCUACCCUUGCUGAUUCUCAUAGUCCCAGUCAUGCAGCAGGUGUGUGUAGAGGUGGAUUCAGAGACAGAUGCGGUCAAGGACCAAUCGAUAAGGCUUACGUGCAUCUCUUGUCAGAAGAGGGCAGAGAUCACCAUGGAGUCACAGGUCAACUGGUACUACAUCAACAAGGACAAAAGUGCCAUACAUAUCUUGCAGUAUGUUGACGGACCACUGUAUCUGGAAGGACGCUGGAUGGACCGACUGCUGUGGAAUGGAAGCAGCAAUAUGCAAGACCUGUCCGUCUUAAUCAUCAAUGUCACACUGAACGACACCGGCACCUACAAGUGUGAGGUCAUCCGGAGGAUGCCUAACAUGCCGGCCUUUCGUGUCACUAAGUUUAUCAACCUGGUGGUGAGAGAGAAAGCCCUUCCCAACAUCACAGCCUUCUAUUCCGAAAUCAUGAUGUAUGUCGUGCUGACUCUAAUGAGCGUCUGGCUGCUUUUGGCGGUGGUGUUCUGCUUCAGGAAGAUCGCCAGAGCUGAGGCCCGUGCUCAAGACAGUUCGAAUGACUGUCUGUCAAUUCCUAGUGACAAUAAAGAUGAUAUGGUCACCACCAUAGAAGAUUAAGAAUGGGUGUCUCAUACAAAGAACAGUAAGUUAACUUUUCCUAUUGAUGCACUCCAGUGGUGGCUGGUGAGAUGAAAAUGGAUGAAUAUACUCAUGACCUGUUUGUGCGUACUUUAUGCCCUGUUUUUUUUUUUUUUUUUUUUGAUAGCCUUGUUUUUAUAUGACAAAAUUAUGCAGUAUUCUUUUAAUAUCAAGAUAAAUAUUAUCUUUGUUCUCCAAAUUUGUUCUCCCAAAUUCAAGGACAAUUGGCUACAUACAUUUCUAGCUACAAAAACUGAUCUAAGAUUUUGCCCUUGAAAUGCUCAUGGAAAAGCACCAACAUUUUCACCAAACUAAUGUUUCCUUACUAUCUUUUAUUGCAAAUUCUGCUCAAAGUGCAGUAUCCAGUUAAUGGGCAGAUGUCAAUGGAAAGUAUAGUCUUUCAAAUUGAUUUGUUUAUUUUACUAUACUGAACCCCAUUUUAUUUACCCCCAUUUAAAUUCUCUGACAUGACAUGGAGAAAGAGGACACUACCACAUGACACAGUUCAGAGAAAGCUUUGGAAUUACUUCCCAAUGGAUUAUACAGACAAUCUGGUUUGUUAAUCUGAACAGAUUGAGACCAAUGAUGAGUUUGAAGAUGCGACUCCGGAGUCAGCCAUUUCAAAAGGUAGAGCUAAAGGAAGACUUUAACAGAACCGUGUGAUGGGAGUUACAACAGGGGGGUCAGGAUUGAAAUAAGCUUUCCAUUUCUUUUCACGAGAAAGAUUUGUGAAGCGCUCUUUCACUCUGGAGAUUUGUGUCCUCAUAAUGGCUAAGAUGAACUCAUGUUGCUGUGCAUUAUUGCGAUCUCACAAUUGCAAAGAUGCACUUGUUGUCUGCAUGAACUCACAGAACUUGUGUUAUGUGUCACUGUGGCCCCGCAAUGGCUCCGAGGGAACUUGUGUGACAUGUCGGUUGCAGCUUCAAACACCCUGUUGGGUCAAUGUGUCAUAGACAUUGAAAGGCUUAUUCAAUUGUGUAGCCUUGUGCUUUGUCUUCCCUCACAGAUAAUGACAAUGUGCAUGCCAGUUAUACUGAACAGGAUCCUUAUCGAAUGAAAGCAUUGACCCACCCACACAUGAAAUUAUGAGCCGGGCACAAAGAGCUGUGUAUGGAAUAUGCUGAAAACUGAACCUACCAUUUGCAAUGAUGCGGUAAAUUUGACAAAUGAGAGUCAAAUCUGGUUUAAUCCACUUAUGAAUUUUCAAGGAUAAAUCAAUUUACCAACCUUUCCUAUUUGGUUGGACAAAAGUUGUCAUUAUAGAGUAAGGGAAAUUUCUUCUCUCCCCACUUUGUGAUUGCCAGUUAUGCCUCUCACUCAAUUUCAGUAUUACAUUUCAAGGUCCAUUAUUAUGAAAUUAAGUGAAUUAUCUAGCUGUUCAUUGUUUUUUUUAUCAUUUAUUGUGAAGCUUCACUGAAGAAUAGUUUUUGAUUAAUUAGUGAAUUUGAAGAAUGUAUGGUACCUGUAGGAUGAAUAGAACAUGAAAAAUUUCUUAAAAAAAAUAAAAUAUGGACCAAUUUUUUUUACAAAGUAAUUCUGUGAUGCUUCAUAUUCGGGAAUACAGAAAGAGUUCAUUGUUGGUGGUUUUGAAGUGUGCUUCAGUAUGAAUGCCAUUCAGAAUUAAUAAACAGCUUUCUUAUUGUGAAUAAAAGUAAUAUUUGAGGUUUUUAUUUUUCAGCAAGACAUCAAGAUUUUCCUUUUUAAUUUGGGUGCUGAGCCAAAUGAUCAUUCAUAGCUGUUUAUAGGAUCAAGCCAAUUCCUUGUAAAAGAACAUAUACUUAUCCUUUUGUAUUUUAUUGAGAUCUUAUUAUGGUGACAGUAGCACAAAAACGUGCCUGGUUUCAACUAAGCUACUUUAGAUGUCGAGCUUAGAUGAAAUUACACAAAUGAAUGAAUGCGUGUUGUGUCUUCUCUUUUAGUUUGCUGGCUAUCGUGAUAAUAUCAUUAGCCUGAGGCAGCUUUUUUAAGGAGCCAUGAAUACACAUACAUCUCCAGGACAAGUAUUUUGGACAUGGCAAAACUGCCAAUUCAUUAUGCCAUGAUAUAGUUUUAUUAAUGGGGAAGAAAGCAGUCAAUCUGAUUGGUCAUAAUGAAAUCAAACCUCCACCACACCUGUAGCCCACCCAACUGUGCUGCAGGGGCAAUACAGUCAUACCAUUACUAAAAUUCAGUUGUGUGUUUGACAGUUGGGCCUUGACUGUGAAUAUAGGGCCCUUGGAACAUGUUUUUAUAAGUUACUGUUUCCUAGAUUUCUUACUUGCCAUGUCUUGCAUAUGAAGCAUGCCUCUUUGACCCACCACUACACCAACUAAACUUGGGCAGAUUUUUCCAGAUUAGGAGACAUAUAUUUAGAAAAUUGGCAUGCUUUAAAUGUUUUUUUUGUUUUGUUUUUUUGACAAAAAAUUUACCAUCAAAACAAAUUUACCACCAAGAGUAUUCCCCUUUAUGAGGGCAUGAGACAAGUAAAGGAGUCAAAUUUCAAUACCAGCAGAGGCAGUCAUAGCCUGAGAGCACCACAGCUGAGCACUGCCAUAGAUGCUUCAGUUAUAGUAAUAACUUAUUUAGUUAUAGAUAAACCUCUGAUUAUUGCUGUAAUAAUUAUUUAAUUUGUCCUUCCAUAUACCUUCUCUUGUCUGUCAAGAUGCAAGAUAUUUCACAGUGAUGAAUUUACCAUGUUCAGUAAUUUUCCUAUUUAUAUGCGAUUCUGUAUUUAUUUAUUGAUUGCAAUCAUGUGGCUAUUAACAUAAUCCACGUGAUACAUUACUCUUAUCCUCAAGUAUCAUUUAGACCGCAUUGAACGAGAUAUAAAAUGUAAAGCUAUUAUAUGCAAUCAUACGCUUGUCGAUAUCUUCAGGAAGUGCACACUAACAUUUAUUGAUCUGUGAGCGCAUUAGAAAGCAAAAAGCAUCAACAGAUAGGAACCCUGGUGGGUUUUAAUGGUUACAGGCAAGUCAGUUAUUUUUACUAUCCUAUCGGAACAUGUUUUAAAAUCUGAUUAGCUGUAGAGUGGCGCAAACAGGUAUUGGUCACUUUCCCGGGCCGGGCAGCAGGUAUAUUGCUUGCAUGCGCUGUUAUGCUAUCCUAUAUGCAAUUGUUUGGCUAAAUUGUACUGUUAUGAGUUAAAUGAUGUGAUUUGUCUCGCACUCCUCUCGCUGUAUAGAGGUGCUGGGGAUUGUUAUUUCCACAUUAUAUGCCUAAAUGGCAGUAAAGCUCUGCGAGGAAAAUGCCUUUUUGAGUGCUUCACACCAUGCUCUAUGCUGAGGUGUUUCCAGAAAAGGAAGACUCUGGAAUGAUAUUAGGUUACUGUACAUUUUGUGUAAUUGUGCAGGUGCUAACUGUAUUGUGUUGAUGCACUGUUGAAUGCAAAUCCUUUUUUCAGCAUACAUUUGACCCUCUAUGGUUUAAUGGGCCUUGCAGGUGUAAUGUUAUAUGUACAAAUUAAUGGGAAAAUAAAACAUAUUUCACUCA